rnacentral:lncRNA from 1 species
UUUUUUUUUUUUUUUUGGUGUUGUGCGGGGGGGGGGGGGGGGGGGGGGGGGAAGGAGGAGGAGGAGGAGGAGGGGAAGUCAAUCAGGAUGCAGUGUGGUAAACGGGCUAGCCGAAUCCAAAAGCUCAAAAAGAAGGAUGUAGGUAUGGCUUGCAUUUGUAACCGUGGCCUACCUGCUUUGCCUUGUUAUUUGUUAAGAAACCCCACCGCAUUUUUGGCCCAUGUCAAGUAGUAGCACAUGUCAAAAGAGUCGUAGUUCUACUGGUGAGGAAGGAGGAUCCUGCAGCUGCUGAAUUUGUCCGUUGUUCCUUGGCUGGGCCUCUUUUCACUUUUUCUUGUUCUUCUGCUCAUCAAUUUCAAGUUGCAGUGCUAUUUGCGACCUGCCGUCAAAACUUAUAUAAUAUCCCCGACAUUAUUAACAUAUAUAUUGUCAAAGUUACCAGUUGAUCGAUCAUGUGAGCUCUGGACACAGCAGCAGUCUUCAGCCAGUUUCCUUCCUCUUAUCCAUGAUUCCAUGUUACAUGCCGUGCCUUCCUGGGAUCAUAGAUGGUUGUCUUCCACUGCCCAAUAUAGGCACCCCACCGGCCACCACCACCCAGUCAGAAACUCUGAUUGCUGCUGUUAAUUUAGGUUUUGACUGAAAACACAAAAUCCUUGGGUGGCAGAGGACACCGUCCAACGCAAAAUACUUCACUGCAUCCACAUACUAUUAUUACACCUCAGGAAGCAUCGAAUUUCUGCUCUGCUCAUCAACCUCAUUCCAUUCCUGAUGCAUACUUUGAUCCAUUCCUGAUGCAUAUUUUGUUAAAAGUUGGAAAGUCCCAGCAUAUAAAACUACUACUAAGUACCGGUUCCACAUGAUGCCAUGUCAUGUCAUUGUCAACUUCUUGUAUUUUCGUCGGUUUUGUUGUCUAAAUUCGCACUAACACGGACACUGAAACUGUGUAUAUGAAUAUAUCUACGUUUGUCUCCCGUCCAAUUUCCUCAAUUACAAAUUGGGAGAGGGAAUGAGUUUCAUUCUCUGUGUCUUCUACUAAUGCCCUCUCUCCUAAUUCUACGCUUCUACCGACACUACCCUAUCAAGUUGGAUUGCUUUUUUUUCUUAAUUAUUUAAGCAUUGCCUAAAACUAAAUCAAUUGUUAUGAACAUUUUCAUUUCUUUCUUGACAGCUGAGCGUUUUUCUCGGAAACAAACCCCCUCACCCCAACCCCCCCCCCCCGGGCCCCCAAAAAAAAGGGAAAAAGUUGUCAACAUACUACUACUAUUCCUACUAUUCUUUCUAUUAUUUGGAGGGUGGCUCUUGGUUAUGGAACUGUAAGCAAGGGUACUUCCAAAUUGGAAAAGUAUAAAAGCAAAUUAUUAGGAUGACCACUAAACUUUUGGAAUCAUCAAAUUUUAACCACUGAACUAUUAAAAGUCUGGUUUUGACCACUGAACAAUUUAAAGUUUAAAUUUUGGAUCAUUCUGUUAGAUUUAAUUAUUAACUAUGUCUCUUUCUUUUGUCUCGUGAAUCGUACGGGCACUCAGAUUUGGCAUAGUUAAUGAUCAAAUCUACUGAAGGUCCGAAAUUUAAACUUUAGAUAGUUCAGUGACCAAAAUUUAACAAUUCUAAAAGUUUAGUGGCCAUCCGGAUAAUUUGCUCAAAGUAUAAAUAAACUAUGCAUAUUAUUUGAUAAAUAAUUGUUUAACGAAUACCUAAUUUCCACUUGUUAAUACUUCUAAUUUGCAUCUAAUUCAAUAUUUAAAUAGACACAUUCACAUUUGCUCUUAAACUUAGCCAUUUUCCAUGGAUGCCCAAUCAACAUGAGCUAAAAUAGGUUUUGAGUGUUUGCCAUAUCUAGUAAGUGUUUAAAUACAAAGAGAAACAUUAUACAUAAGUAGAUGUGAAUUGAAUCUUGAAAAUAAGUUAGAUGUGAUUUACUUAUGCUACGAAUUCUCAUAGAGCACUUACUAGAAAAACCUAUAAAAAAAAAAUAUAAUCAUGUGAUUUAUUGUAUAUUACCCUCAUAGUAAGCUUGUACUUUAACCAUUUUCUGUAUCAUAUUGUACGGUAGGUUAUUAAUUUUUUUGACAAUUUCAUAAUUUUGGAAUUAAUCUAAUGUUUAACAUGAGUUUCAAAUAUUAAUUUUUUUUUUUUGAAAAUAGCGAAGUUCAAUCAGAUGAGUGUCCAAAUGAAAAGGUUUAGACAAUCAUGUGUAUCUUUUUUAUCUGUAAUGCAUGUUCAUCUUUAUAAUCCUAUACGUAUGCAUAAGGCGUAUCACUGAUUUUAUUUUUUUGAUUUAUUGCCUCGCUUAUACUCUAUGUUUUUUCUUCUUUUUUUUUUUAAACAAAUUUCUCUUUUUAGAAGCACGCUGCCACUUUCCUUCUCAAUUUUCCCUUCUUCUUGUCUUUUGACGAUCAUGUUCAAUGUCAAAGUACGCGCGCGGAAACGAAAGAAUUAGAAUUCUUAAACUUGAGAACACGUUCCUAAUCUCUAUAGGAGGAGAGAAUUAGAAUUCCACGUUCACAAAUAUAACAUUUGAAAAGUAUUUUCGAUAGAUUAAUACCCCACACAGAAAAAAGCAUAAUCUAUCAUUCGGGGUUGCUCCAUGCAUUACCAUCCAUCAACUACCAUAUAAACACGGAUUGUUGGAGCGGGCUCAAAUCCCUGAAUAUAUACAUACCUGAUUCAAAAAAAUAUCCAAGUUUGUUGAACAAUCUGCCUAACCAGCAUUAUAACUAUACCAUCAGGAACAUCAGGUAACUAACUCUAUGCACACACACAGAGUAAAAUGGCUUUCAAAUUAAGCAAACAGUUGGAAGUUACAAAUGAAAAGUAUUCAACGCUUAAAGAAGAAAGAAAAAGGGCUGCAAUUUUUAUGGCCCGGCCUUAAAAGACCAAGCUUAUCAUUCAGAUACAAAGAGGAAAGUGAUCACUUUGUUUUUGGAUCUUAAAGUAACUAUUGGGAGGUAAUUAGGUAAAGCAUAAAGCUUUUUCCUCUGAUUCCUACGACCAGUUCUCCUAAAGCAACCAACUUUCAUGGGUUUCAAUAAUUUGUGUACAACGAUCAAAUUUAGCAGCCUAGCCAGCGCCCAUCCUGUAAGGCAUUUGCUUUUUCAUAAUGGGCGAGCGGCUAUCUCUUCCUUUCUUUUGACUUUCAUUGGGAAAAGAGCGCCUACUGGAACUUCUAUCUAUAUGAUUCUUUUUAUCGCCAAGUUCCUAGUGGGGAUCGAAAUAAGAUUAAAGCUUAAAAAAAAUAAAUUGAAGCGUUCUCUAAAGGAAAAAAGAGUUUUGAUCUUAGUUAAGAGUUUUGAUCUAGUAACUAAGGUUAAAAUUCCAAAAAUUUAGAGGUUUAAAUCCACUUCUUCCUUCCGUUUUUUUUUUUUUUUAAAAUCCCAUCGUCCUCCUAUCUUUUUUUUUGGGGGGAGGUGAGGUGGGGGGAGUAAGAAAGAGACAAAGAGUAGCUUACUUACACGAGCAACCCAAUUAUCGCUUAAGGAGGAAUUCUUCUCAAGGUCAUCAGGCUAAUUAAUGGCAAUUAACCGGAAAUUUAGCCACCCAACGCUAUCAGAAUUAUGUUGAUGUGACGUCUCAUAUCUGAACUAACACCUUUUUAUUAACUCCAUCGGAAAAAUCUGUUUUCCGGUAACUUUGCAUGAUUAAAUUCAGAUUACUAGGCAAGUUUCAUUUUGUACGGGACUUGCUAACCUAAAAUCGCACGGGCAAUCUGUUUGUUGAUUCCACUCCAUAUGCAUAAUAAAUAAACCAGCCCGCCUUUCCAAAGUUCUGACAGACUUCUUGGAAUGAGUUUUGUAAUCUUUACCUUCUUUCCCGUUUUCCAUUUGUAAAAUAGCGCAGGUAAUUCCGGGCUCCAACUCCUCAGAUAAAGAUCAUGAAAGGUGCCUGCGUGCGUUUUCUUUGACAAAACGGAAUCUAGCAGUUCAUUGGUCCCCCUCACAACUCUAUAAGAUGAUGCUACCGUUUUAUAAUAGAGGUUUCUUGAAAAAUAAUGGUAGAAUCAUCAAGGAAAAGCGACUUUUGGCUUGUAAUUAGUUACCGAGUCGCUAGAACCAUACCAAAUACCUCCUCUCCUUUACCUGCUCCAAAGUCCAACCACCCCUUCCUUCUACUUCCACUAAACCACAACAUCCAUAGAUCUAGAUGAUGGAGCUGCUAAUCCACUCUCGGAUGAAGAGCAUUUGUCAAAAUCAGUGAAACUUUAUAUCAUUGCCCCAAUCAACUAGAGUCGUAUCUGCUUCAAUUCACUGAAAGUGAACCAAUUAAAGUUACAAAAUAUAUAGCCGCCAAUCCUAGCUGUAUUGUGUGGGGUUUGGACUGUCAUCUUCAUGUUUGACAUGUACCCUCUUGCUUCAACGUCUAUUUCGCCCUGUCUUUAGUUCUCGGCAUCUUUAAAAUCAAACAACUUUCUCUCAAUAAUCCCCACGGGGGAGGAAUUCAGAACUCAGAACUCCAUCUGGAAUAUAUUGUCUGAAUCUCUCAACCGAAAAAAGGGAAAUGAAGAACAAUCUCAGCAGCAGCACGAAGCUUAUCCUCCUCCAUCCUUACAUCCAAAAGCAGGGCAGCUCCAAUAGGCUAUGGCUUCUUGCAUUCAUUUCAUUCUUCACUCUGGCCUUCCUUCUCACCCUGAUUUACACCAGGGAAUCCAUCACAGCUACAACAGCUGCGGCUGCCUCGGCUACAACUGGCUCCAGCAUUAAUCUUCCGCUGUCGAGUUCCGUCGUGAGGGCGCUUGUUCACUAUGCUUCCAACUCCAACAACACCGAUCACAUGUCCCACACCGACAUCAAACAGAUAUCGGAUGUCCUCCAGAAAUGCCGGAGCCCGUGUAAUUUCCUGGUGUUCGGCCUGACUCCCGAAACCCUUCUCUGGAAAGCCCUGAAUCACAACGGGAGAACAGUAUUCAUCGAUGAGAAUCGGUACUACGCUGCGUACAUUGAAGAAAAAUACCCAGAAGUCGAGGCCUAUGACGUGCAGUACACUACCAAAAUAACUGAAGCAAAUGAAUUGAUUGCUGCAGUGAAGGAACAAGUUAUGAAUGAAUGCAGGCCGGUGCAAAAUCUUCUGUUUUCCGAGUGCAAGCUCGGGCUGAAUGAUCUGCCUAAUCAAUUUUACGAAGUUGAUUGGGAUGUUAUUUUGGUAGACGGGCCUCGAGGGUACUGGCCAGAAGCGCCUGGCCGGAUGUCGGCCAUCUUCACAGCAGGUGUUCUGGCUAGGAGCAAAAAAGGAGGGAAUACAAAAACGCAUAUUUUUGUGCAUGAUUUCAAUCAAAAGGUGGACAGAACCACCAGUUAUGAGUACUUAUGCAAGGAAAAUUUGGUGAAAUCCAAAGAUAUGCUCGGACAUUUUGUCCUGGAAAGAGCGGAUGCUAAUGUUUUUCAGUUCUGUCGCAGCAAUUACACCUCAACACCAGCUUCUUCAUCAUCCUCGUCGUCUUCUUAGUUGGUAAUGUGCGUGUCAACACAAAUAAGUUUAGUCCUUUGCCAAUGAUCAGGAGGCGAACAAUUAGAUUACUCCUAUUUAUCCAUCUUUCAAAUUUUGACAUUUUGCUCGCUCCACCAGCUGCUGCUGUUGGUUGCAUGUAAAAUAAAUUUUUUUUUUUUUGGGGUUUUGGCAUGUAAAAUGUAAUUGUUUGUGUUAUAAGUUUCAUGUGCAACCUGAAAACUUGAAAGGAAUCAACAAUUUGAGACGUGUCGUGGAAGUUUUAAUUUCUGCACGAGGAAGAUAAAAACUUGGAAACUACUAAAGUGCUGCCCGGAUUGGCAUACAGAUUAGUACUAUUAUUCUGUACCUAAUCAUUGAUAUCCUAUAUAUUACUCUACAAACUCUGGGACCCUUUCAUGGGAGUCGAGCAAUUCUUUUUCCUUGUGGUGAGGCUACAUUUCAAUUUGAAUCGUCACAUGAAAUUUGUCAAAUCAACUUAUAAGUUGAUUAAAAAUCUUUAUUCUUGUUGAAGUCGAUUGAACUUCAAUCUCCAGGAACUUUAAAUCAAUUGCCGACAGUCCCUAGAACAAAGUUUUGUAUACGCACCUGUUAAGUCAUCUGACAAAUAUUUGCUAGCGUCAUUCAAAAGCCCCUGGAUGAAUUUCUAACGAAUAUGGGGCAAAUAUGUGCUAGCGAUGUCAAGGCUGUAAACAAACCAAAUUCUUAACGAAUAGUCAGUCAGGGUUUGAUUCGAGUUAAAUUCGAACUCAAGCUUGAAUCCAAUUAAUAAUUAGGAUUCGACUAUGGUUCAAAAUCUCGUUUUGAAUUUGCAAGUAUUUAGCUCGUUUAGGCUCAACAAAGCUCCACUAACUUUUUAUAUAUUUUUUAAAAAUAUGUGUUUGUUUUUAUUUUAUGUAAAAAAUAUAUUUCUCUACUAUUUUGUCAUAUAGAAAUUAUACAUGCAUUAUUACUAAAAAUUUAGAAAAAUAUGAGUUUUCAAAUCCAACUCGAACCCAAAUUUAUAGCUCGUGUAGAAUUCGAACUUGAUUUCAAUUUCAAAACAAAAAAUUCCAAUCGAGUUUAAUACCUCGAAUUUUGGAUUCGCUUCAAUUCUUUUACAGUCUGACAAUGACGCCCAGAAUGCUCUUGAAUCUCAAUCCAAUAUAAUGGUAUGGUUACUCCAGUGGAUUUAUCCCUCGUGAAUAAAAAUGGGGAACUGAUUUUCUAAUACCAAUGGGCACUAGAUUAGCAAAGAAUCAUAAAUAUUGAUCCUUUUUUGUAACUACGCUAAUAUUGGGUGAUAUAACAAAUUUUAUUUUUAACUAGGCCCAAUUUAGAAAUGCCGUUUAAGCUCACGAGAAAUGAGUAAAUCUCUUCAAUUCUUACCUUCUACCAAAUGUAUGAGUGAGAGAGAGAGAGAGAGGACUUAAAGAGUUGUUUUUCAAAAAAAAAAAAAAUUGAAAGAGUUAAUUAAAAGUUUGGGGCCUUGGUUUUGGGUGGUUUUUGGGGGGAGGGGGGAAAGGUCGGGGGUUAAAGUGAAAUUACACAUAGUUAUUAUAGUGGCAAGUGGGAAGCUGCAGGCCGCAACGUUAUUAUAUUGGCAAGUGUUGCCAAUGAUCAAGUGACGGUGUUUAUUCAUUUGGCAUCUUUCUCCUCGAGUAGUUAAGUUGAAGUCGGGGAAUAGAUCACAGAACCAGAGAGCUCCAACAACACCAUCGCAAUGACCACCGACUUUAAAACCCUCCCCCUUAUAGGUAACAAAUUUCUUUCACAAAACCCAAGAAUUCUUUUCCCGUCAUUUUCUUUUUGCCAUUUGUUGCAUAAUUUAUCCACUAUAGUUAGCCACCCUGCAAAGAUAAGGAGAUUAAAGGAAAAACAUGACCAUGGUUUCUUUCCUAAUAGUUUUAUUUUAUGCAGUUUCUUUCCUAAGUUGAGGAACACAGAACAAAAGUAGCAGGGAAAAGGCUAGUUAUGUUAUAGUAGUUUAGUUACAUUGAUUGGAUACAGGGAAUGGGAAUACUCAGUCGUUUUCCGGCUUCGUCACCCCGGGAGGAAAAGGGAUCUCUACUGUUGUAUUUAUCUGUAAUUGUCAGCGCAAGGUUUUGAAUAUCCAAAUCGGUAUUUUGGUCUCUUUUUGCUGCCAUUGUUGAACAUAUCCCUGCUGAAUAUUUUACGAUUUCACUCAAAAGAAAAUUGUAUUAUCACCAGUUAAGGUCCUAAAGUUUCAAUUUCUUUCUCUGAAAAAAAAAAAAACUCUUGGAUGUUGGUCAUAAAGGUUACGCUACUUGGUUGAGUGCUACUACUAGUAUAUGAGAACUGACAUUUGCUCGUCUCAGUUGUUUGCUUCUUCUGCUUCUUUGUUUGAAUCUUGCCUAGAUGUUAGUCCUCUUUUGGAGAAAUGGGAUGAUCCAAUCAUGGCUCAAGACAAAGGCGUGGCCGAUGUUGUGCGACAGUUGGGUCAGGCAUGUAAAGAAGCAGGAUUUUUUUACGUGGUAAUUUAUUAUGCUUAAAUGACUUUUUCGUGGUCUUUGACUAUGCAUACUUAUAACGAGAAAGCAUGUAGCAUUUCUUGAUUAAAGUAUCGAGACAUUUAGAUUGUUCUACGCUGGUUUAUUUUAGUGGCUUAGAUGGCAACCAAUUUUAGUUUACUGGCAUAUGAAUGCAAAACCAGAACUGCUAGGGUUCAUGAAUUUAGGAGGCUGCAUUACUAGUUGAAUAUUUUCAUCUCUGUCUUUUACCUAGGCAUGUAGGUAGAAGAUGGUCCUGUUAGAGUUCGUUCAUCUCCACCUGUUUGAACUGCUUCACAAGUAUAAUUUGAUUUCUUUGCGUUACUUUAGUUUUGAGUCACUCACAAGGUACUUGGAAUACCUACAGCCUCUUCUUUUCAACCUCUCUGCUUCUCAUUCUGCUAUUAUAUAUAUGCCUAAAGUUGACUUUGGAUUGCACAGAAGGGCCACGGCAUCCCUGAUUCCCUUGUCAAAGAGGUCAGAAACAUAGCACAUAGAUACUUUGAUUUACCUUAUGAGGAGAAAAUCAAGAUCAAACUCUCUGCAACAACUGGAUACAGGUUUGCUUCUUGUGGAAAAAUUUGAUAUCUAGUAGGCUAUAUGUAGGGUCAAUAUUUUAGUUCCGAUUCAGGCUUCAUCCUUUUAUUUCUUACUAGGAUAACUUAACAUUUUGAUUGCAGAGGAUAUCAGCAUGUUGGAGAAAAUAUAACCAAAGGGGUACCUGAUAUGCAUGAAGCUAUUGAUGUAGGUUUUACUUUGCUCUAGGUCGUACUAUCAUGGAGAUUAUUCUAUAUAUGUACUUUGCCUUGCUGAGUUUGAAUUUUUGGUAAUUACAAAUUUUAAUCACUCAUUAACCUGGUAAAACAUAUAUUUACAAACCUCUGCUGGCUAUAAAUCUGGUAAUCUAUCUGUAGAAUGAAUGGCCUUGUGAACGCUCAAUCGGUCCUGCCAAUGGGUGUGCAAGUUGAUGCUGAGUUGAAUUUGCCUGCCUACCUUAUUAAGGCUUUCUGUGUUGGGGACUUUAUCUUACACCUGCUGUUCUAGAUGUUAUUUGGACAUGUUUUUAUCAUAGUGAAAAACCAAAUAGACGCUGCCAUGGGAAAGAACUGGGGAUGCUUGGGUUUGAAUAUUCCUUGACAACAAGCUGUUACCGACUUAAUGCGUCUUACUAAGUUUAUAUGAUAAUUCCAGGGUCAUUUUUUGAGAUUAGUGAAGGAGAGGGACAUGCUGAAGCCAUUAGGCGUUGUACAUAUGCUGCAUCUGUUGUACAUAGUGUCUUCAUGAAUUCAACAUCUCAUAAUAUGCAUUAUCUUUCCUUUUUAACAUUUUUAUGCAGAAAAUUAUGUUUUCUGUAUUCAUGAUUCAAAUAAAACUUGCUCCUCAAUUACAUGAAAAAUGAGACUAAAACUGCAAUGAAGCUAGAUGUUUUCUUCUGCUUCUUAGUUCUGGAAAAUUUUAGAAUAAUAUAAACUGUAUCUUUUUCUGUUUAUGUUCAACCUCUAUUUUUCUCAUUUUCCUUUUUUUUUUUUUGUUUUGGAGAAUAUCUAUGGUGAUCACAAUGAUAUAGUGGACCAUAUUUUGGAGCUUUAUAUUUUGCAAGCAAAGAAUCUGGAUGGGGUUCAUGUUAGCUUUGAUGCUAUCAUUAUGCUCUUGUAGCUCUUGCAGUUUUCCUCAUCAAUUUAAUCCUUCAGAUCAUUUUCAGUCUUUUGCUUUUGGAUAACAGUGCUAUAAAGAAGUCACAAAAGGAAUGUAUGGAGCUCUUGGUGAAACUAUGCAAGGUUCUAAUGUUUGGUAUGUGAGAAGCCAAACUGUUGUCUUUUAUGGAUAUGGCAUGAAGUUGAACACCAUUGAAGGUUACAAGUGCUUAUCCAAACAAGAAAGAAAGGGAAAAAGAAAAAAAAAUAAAAAAGGAACUCGACAACCUAUCACAAUUUAUUCUCUCUCUCUCUCUCAUCCAAAAACACAGGCACAACAUUCUAGUAUUUACCUGCUUGGUAAGCUUGUUAUUUUUAUGGAAGCAUGAGUACUGCCUGCACAUGGUAACAAGUAUGUUUCCUGGUGUAAAUGACACAUUGUUACCUUCUGUAGGCCAAGUCAUCCGCCGAAUUUCAAAAAAUUGAUGGAGGAGUAUGUCAACCUUUGCACAGGUGCAUUUUGAGUGAAAUUAUAUACCAUUAGCUGGGUUAUUGCUUUAUCUCUGACUCCAGUCCACUGAAUCUGACUUGGAUGCUAAACGUCGACAGAGCUGUCUAGAAAAAUUAUGCGGGGAAUAGCUCUGGCAUUGGGUGGAUCACCAGUUGAAUUUGAAGGGACAAGAGCCGGUGAUCCAUUUUGGGUGCUGCGUAUAAUUGGCUAUCCUGGUGUCUCCCCUGCAAAUGGCCAAGACAUGCCAAAAAAUGAUAUUGGAUGGUGAGAUUGCUGAAGAUGGAUUUCAUCUUCUUUUAUUUCACUUCUAGCACUUGAUUGAUGUGAUUUUGUGCUUGUUUAUGCCUUUUAUCCAAAUGAACGCAGUGGAGCUCAUACGGACUAUGGUAAGAUUCCCCAUCCUGGUUUGGUGUAAGCAUGAGGUGUUCUUAUUUGUACGUGAAGAUGAUCUCUUGUUCUAUACCAGGUCUGCUGACGUUAGUCAAUCAAGAUGAUGGUAUUACUGCUCUUCAGGUAUCGCCCUCCUGUCUACUUUCUUUUUUAUUUGCCUUCAUUUUUUAGCAUUAGUGUGUAUCCUGAAGUUCUUCGUGUUAUACUUAGGUCUGUUUCAUUAGUUUCUGCUUGAAAUAUACAUGUUUCUCUGGUUUUUCAUUGUCACUACUCUGCACUAUUAAACUAGUCCCUUUGUAGGUAAAAAACCUUUCCGGAGAGUGGAUAUCAGCACCACCCAUUCCUGGGACAUUUGUUUGCAAUAUCGGUGACAUGCUCAAGGUAUACAUCUCAAUAAUUGAUUCUCCAGUGGUUUUCAUACUGUCAUCCGAUAACUGUUCUUAAUAUUUGGGGAAUCUUCAGAUUCUAUCCAAUGGCUUUUAUGAAUCAACAUUGCAUCGGGUGACUAACAACUCUCCCAUUUAUCGUGUCUGCGUGGCCUACUUUUAUGAGGUAAUCCUCUCUCUUAAUUUUCCUUUUUUAUUUUGAUUCAGCUUCUUAAUCAAUCUCCUUGGUUUUUUCGCAUGAAUAGCCAAAUUAUGAUGCUGUAAUAGAGCCAUUGGAUGAAUGCGUAAAACAAACUGGUGGAACCAGGAGGUUUGAAGGUGCUGUUUACGGUAAACACUUGGUCAGUAAAGUCCUCACAAAUUUCAUAUACUGAGGAAUAAGUCUCCCCAUUAUGUCUGUUUCGACUGAAUUUUGGGGAUUUCAUCUGUUAGCCUUUGAAAGAAUGUACAAUAAUAUCUUGUGUUUAUUGGAUUAAGUUGUCGGUUGAUUUAGGAUGACAUGGCCUCAUCAAUUUCUCGGAGUUUUUUGAACUCUGUACCUAGUUGAUCCCCGAUUCUUUCAUUUGAUUUUGCCUUGAAUUGUGCAAUUAUUUUGGCGUAUCAGUAGUAUUCAUAAAGCACCCUCAACUUUGUAACAUGAAUAUAAGCUGGUUGGCUUAGGCUUAGGCUUUAACCAUGCAUUAAUGACAGCGAUGGUUUAGUGUAUACACUUAUAAAAAAUUUCGCUUACGGAGGAAGAUUUUAUCCUCCAGCUUCUGACAACAAAAUACAUACAUACACUUAAUAUUACGGCGUAAUGAUAAGGUAGGCACUUAGGCGGCUGGCUGCCGACACCGAAAUUCACGAGCCUGGCCCUUUUAAAGCAGCAUAUGUCGGCGAUGGAGGCCUUGGCCGCUUGGGCACAUGAUCGGAUGUCUGUGGUGGGCCCUUAGAAACAUAAAUGCCGCAAGGCACGUAGUAGAGCCAUUUCGGGUCCGGGCAGGUACAGCGCCUUGAGAAGAAAGCCUCGCAUUCCUCCGGGCUUCUUUGGCAAGGAAGGUCUAGAAUGCAAUUCAUGGUUACGUUCAGGACUUUCUUCUCGAUUAACUUCCUGCAUUCUGGUCCGACUUGAGUGAAGUAAUUGAACUUGAGGUCCAGUACCUCCAGGUCGCCCAGGAUGCACAAGCUCUCUGGAACCGCCCCGUAGAAUUGGUUGUACGACAAGUUCAGCUGCUGAAUAUCUUUCAAGCAUCCGAAUGAUUGUGGAAUGGGACCUGUCAAUUGGUUUAUGCUGACAUCCACAAUAUGUGUUUUAUUCAGAAACCCAAUCUCAUACGGUAGGCAACCGGAGAGACUGUUGUUUAAGAAAAGAACCUCGAGGAGAUUUCUGGAAGUUUGGCCAAUGCUCCUGGGGAUUGGGCCGGUUAAUUCGUUGUUUGCAAAGGUGAGAUAGAGUACAGGGGUUUGGCCAAGAUUGUCGGGGAUGUUUCCAGAGAAUGCGUUGUUGUUGAGGAAGAGUACGUCCAGGUCUAGUGUGAAGGCUUGAGGCGGGAUUGUCCCUGUUAACUGGUUGAACCUGACGUCCAGGUAUGUCAAGUUGGUUGCCCCUAGGGCUGCUGCGGGGAAAGCUCCUACGAGCUUGUUGUUGCUCAGGUCGAACUCGAAGAAGUUUGGAAGUUUGGAUAUUCCAAAGGGAAUGUCACCUGUGAAGUUGUUGGAGUUGACGUGGAAGAUUACCAGGUCCUUGAGAUCUUCAACGAAGUCUGUUGCAACGAGUGGACAGCCAGGUCCGCCGUUAAAGUUGAAGCCAUUGAAAUUGACGCCAACGACUCUAAACUUGUUAUCUUUGGUGCUUCUGUCGCAUACGAAGCCUUUGUAUUUGGAUUUGUCGUAACAGAUGCGGUUGCCCGUCCAGGUUUUGGUGACGCCAAAAGGGUCGUACUUUAUUCUCCUUUUGAACCUUCGGAUUACUUGGAUGGCCAUUUUUAGUUCCUUGGAAAGAGUAAAUGGAGGUGGCGGUGGCGGUGGUGGAGGUGGGGGUGGGGGUGGGGGUGGUGGUGACGGAGGUGGGGGUGGUGGUGGUGGACAGGGAGGAGGGGGCGGUGGCGGCGGGGGUGGACAGGGUGGAGGUGGGGGUGGGGGCGGAGGUGGACAGGGCGGAGGGGGUGGUGGUGGACAGGGAGGAGGUGGUGGAGGUGGGGGUGGCGGCGGAGGUGGACAGGGAGGCGGAGGGGGUGGUGGUGGACAGGGAGGCGGGGGCGGUGGCGGAGGUGGUGGCGGGGAAGGACACUUGGCCUUGGGGGGAUGCAUUGGAGGAUAUGCGGGCUUUGGAGGGGGAGGGGGAGGGGGCUGUGGGCAAUGUUGGCAUUCUCCAUUGUCAGGACGGUAGGCAGGGGAAUAGGGAGGACUGCCAACCCCUAUAACGAUUUCGAGUGUUUCCCUGUUGAUCGGGGUAGUUGCUGGAGUACCAUUACCAACGACUUGAUAAAACCAGCAAGAGUGCAGGAUGACAAAGAAGACAAGAAGAGGAAAUGUGAGUGAGAAAGUGCUCUCUCUCUCCAUAUUCCAACACUUCUGAUGAUUGAACCCGGAAGAAGGCACAACGUAUAUAUGCUAAUGGGGAGGGAAUGGAGGACCCAAUGAUCGGUGAGGUUUAAUGCGGGUGGUUCAGUGAUUUGAUCCAUACUGCCAAUAAAGAGAGAGUUCGUGAGGAUGACGUCCUUCAAUUGUACUAGGCGCGGUUAACAUUUUCUGUUGUUUUGGGCACUAUGAGUGGAGCCUCCUCAUGCAAUAUGUAGAUUCUUUCACAUACAUAAUUUUUUUUUUUUUUUAAAAAAGAGAUUGAAAAGAUAAAUAAAUAUGUUAAAAAAUCGUAAAAUGCCAUUUCUGCAAUUGUGAUCUACUCUCAGAUAGUAAUCGUCUCAGGUAGGCCACCAAAGUGACAUCAGACGUUUCAAAUGUUAAGUUCUCCGCUUUUUCUUUAUUUAAAAGGUAGGCCGUCUUUUAUUCUUUCUAUUUUCUUUUCUGCUUUAAGGUGAAGAGUGUCUUUUUUUUUUUCAAAAGCUUGAUUUUGAUUGUAAACCUGCCCAUCCGUUCCGAAAAUAUUUAAGAUUUACCGGAAAAAAAAUAAAAACUACAACUCAUUAGCUACAGCUAUCUUUACUCCGAUCUACUCUAUAAAUAAGAACAACACUUUCACUUUAAAAAAAAAGAAAAAGAAAAAGAAAAAAGAAAGAAUAAUACAUCGAUGAUGGAUGUCCAAUAACACGACGCACUUAGCUAGCACCUGCAAUGGCUGUGAAUCCGUUCCCUUUCAAACCCAGCAAGUCAGUUGCCCCUUUCACAAAAGGCAAUACCUACACAAACGGCGCAGCAAGUAGGGGAUAGUGAAGGGGAUAGUAACCAGUAGGACAAAACUUCGCAUGAUUGACCUUUCAACGAGGAUCUGUCCUCUUACAUAUUCCUAGGACAAUUGCCCUCCCAAAUCCCAAUGCAAUUCCGGAGGAGCCAUCCCAAUCGUCAAUACAUCAUUCCAAUCUUGUGCAUGUGCACUUCCUCCUUGAUGGCCUACUGUGUCGCAGUUGACAUGCGCAUCCCCAAUCGUCUAUUCUCAACGGCAUAAACAUUUUACACUCAAUUUUGUAUCUGCACUAACAAACUGUUCCCCUAAUAUAUCUUUACAGGCUACUCAGAUGCCAAUGAAAAUUAAAUAUCUUCAAGAGGGAACAAUAGGUUCCACUCUGCCUUUCCCAGAGUUCUAUAACUGCCCUUUUUUGCUGUCUUCUCUGGAAGAGUUCUAUUUUCAUUCCAUCUUUUACUAUUUUAAUGCAAACUUGGGCCACAAAAAAAAGGGUUCAUGAAUCCACCAAGUUAAGGUUUUUAAAUUUUCUGGCACAAUUUCACCACCAAAGUAUUCCUUUAAAUUUCCUAAAGCUUUGCCUUCAACAAUGAUGACCAUCCAAUCUGCAGCCUAUGUCAGAUAGUGAAGCAGCAAAAAGAUAAAAGAGGAAAGUAGAAAACAAGGCAGCUAAACGUGUUGCAUGAAAUUUCAACUGUCAGUGGCACUCGUAUGGUUUCUAACUUGUCCGACACCGGUGCGCACAGUUUUGCUAACACACUAGAUUUUACUGCACUUUUGUCUACAAAGAGAUGUCUAAAUGCUACUGAUAGGAUAGACGAAAACCACUACUCUGCAAAAGGAAGGAAGAUGGAACUUCAUUAUGAUUACAAAGAGCGCUAUGGUAAGAAAACUAAGCAAUCUUUAACCAAAUUCAAUGAAGCCAAGAACAGAAUGACACUGAGGAAGCAUAUAGUGAAACAGUGUUUCACACUGGCAAAUGUCUAAGAAAUGCAAAAGCUAAUACAAUCAACUCAGUACAAGUUACCCUUGGAAGGCACUAUUACCUCACCAACAGCACUGAUCAAGCAAAUAAAUUUCUUCCUACUAAGCAACUCUUCAGGUGAAAGAUUGUAAACAAUUUUAAGCUAAAAUGCUGAUAACCAAACAACAGAGUGAAGUACAUUCAUGAUACUUUAGGACCAUGAUUAACAAAAUUUUCCAGCUCAAAAGCCAAAUAAUGGCAGAAGAAGGAUAAAGUAACUUCUCUUACCUCAUCACAUGUCACAGGAAGAAUCAAGAGGAACACUGAGGUGUUGUAAUCAACUCUCAUGCUGUUAACCUCCUCAUUCAACUACUCGGGCAUUACUUUCACUAGUAGCAAGCUAACAGCUAUUGACUAGCAGUAGAAAGAAUAACAGUGUAACUCAACCUCCUCAGACACCACUUUGGCAGAAUUCUAUACAACAGCAAGCCUCAAAUAUGAAAUCUCUUCCAGGACCAUAAAUCUCAUGUCGCAAAUCCAUUUGCAGAUACCCUCUCCACUCUGCUAUCCUUCACAUAGAGUGGUAUCCUCACACCAAGAUCCCUAAGUCGAUUAACCACGACGUAGAGCAACUCAAAUGUGAGUUUUGAUUGUGCAUUAAGGUGAUCUCUUACAUUUGGAUGUACGCUGAACCAAUCUCCUAGCAUCUUAUGCACAUGGGAACGAAUCAUUCUCCAUGGCACUGGAUAACUCUCACAAAACUUUAAAUAUUCAACUAGUAAAUCCGCCUGGUCCAGCUUUCCACCUACACAGAUAUCAUCACUUCCUGAUACCCAUUCGACAGUACGGUAUCCAGCAAAAAGGGCUGGGUUUUCCAGCAGAGACUCAGCUAAAAGUACCCCCUCAACCCCAGUCUCAUCCAAACAGCUCUGCACAUCUUCCAUGUAUCUUAUAUUCCCAUUAGCCAGAACAGGGAUUCUCAUGACAUCUCUAACAGCCUUGAUGGCAUUCCAAUUGGCACGAAAUUUCUUCCCAUCUUUUUCGUCCCUAGUUCGACCAUGUACUGCCAAAAGAGCACAACCAGCAUCUUCCAACAUCUUGGCAUAAUUGAUUGUGUCCUCAAAAUUCGUGAAAAGUCGUAUUUUGCAGGAGACUGGAACACUAAGGUUGUUUGCUAGUUUUUCUACCAUAGAUUUAACCAAAGAUUGUCCAUAAGGAAAGCUCCAUAAUUCCCUCGCCUAGCGAUAUGCUGCGGACAUCUGCACGGAUGGCAAAUAUACAACGCUUAACUAUGCCUACUUUCAACCAAACUCAACGAAAAGUGAUUGUAAUGAUACAAGCUGACAGCAGGACAACUUCCAGAUGCCAGUUACAUGGAAUUGCAAGGAAAUUAUACUCGAAAGAAUUAGCCACGACAAAAAGUGAGCAAUCAGUAUAGUUAGAGUCAAUAUGGAAAAACUGUUCUAGAAUACAUGUACGAGCGAAUAUGGAGAUAAAUAUGCAGCACUAGGUGCAAUAUCAGCUUAAUGAAAAUGCCCGUUAUGUCAUUCAUUACUGGAGUUCCUCCUUCUACAGUAGUUAGCAAUAGUAGCUAAACAAGGAAGGAAAAACAUGGGUAGAAGGCAUUACCCCAAAUUGAUGUCUACAUAAUCGCAGUAGGGUUCUACUCUCCGCGCAGCCUCCAACAAUAUAUCUGGAUCAUUCGCACAAAAUUGCACAAAUAGCUGACGGUCCUCCUGUCAUCAUUUCUCAGCAAACUUCUCCUUAAUGAAAUUCAAAACUAUACAACUUCACAGACUAAGUAACAAGAAGCAUAAGACAAGUAACUAAAAACAAGACCCGAAAUUACCUUGCAGGUGGUAAACUCUUGAGAGCGGUACUUUUCAGUUUCGGUAAAAAUACGAGAGUGAAGCAUAGGGGUAUAAGCAGCUUGAGCUCCGUACUUGCGGCAAAGCAUGCGGAAGGGGAGCUCGGAGUUGUCGACCACGGGGGCCACUAUGAACUUAGGUUGCCCAAGCUUCUUCCAGUGUGCCCAGGCUCUCUCGAUCCGCGACUCUCUGCUCAGGUACCCGUUUGGAUUUGGGGCCGGGAGGCCGUCCAAAUGGGCUGUCUCUCCUUCUGGUUCUCCUUGUGGUUCGGAACACAGGCGGUCGUCGUCGUCGCCGCCGUCUUGGUUGACGGCGACGUUGCAGUUUGACGAUGAAGAGGAAGUUAGGUUUUGGAUGGCCAUCAAGUUAUACGAUGAAUUGGGCGGCUGUGGGCAAAUACUACGUGUGGCGCAGAGUGGCUUCCUAAUAAAUCUCAUAAGGAGGCGAUGAAGGCUGGGGAGGGUACGCAGCCCAUGACCACCCUGGAAGUUGGUGGGGAAAUUUUUCCUUCAGUUUAUUUGGAGGGAGGAGGCGGGGACCCCGCGGGAUUAUAGCUGUUUAGAUGGGUGAAAAAAAUCGGAUCCGGGGCAGGAAGGCUACGUGUAUUUUGCACGCGCGUAACUCGAUUUACACACAGAUAUAAUUUAUUUUCAAUAACGUGUAACUCAAAAAUAAAAUUUUUUGAAUUCCACACAUAUUGUAAAAAAUGAGGUAUAAAAUAAAAUCUGGACCUUACAAUUUUUUUGAUCAAAUCUUGACCAUGAACUGUCAGGAACGGCCGUAGAACCCUCUUCCAAAAAAAUCAAAUCUUUUCUUCAGACGAGGAUAGGGUUGUUUUGGAGUUGAGGCUCCAAAUUGAGGACGCGGGGCUGGAGCGGUUGUCAGAACAACCGCUCCGGAAGGUGUAACACCAUGUGUACAUGGUGUAACAUCAUCUAUACAAGGUGUAACAAUAGAACAACAGCGAGUAAUAUUAGAACAAUAUUUUUGUGGGUCCCACACGGCGUGAAAAUCGAGUUACAAGACGUGAUUUGAGCCGUACAAAUUUUUGAGAUUUCAUCCAGGCCGUGAACUGUCUGGGACGGUUGUCUCUGGCAACCGUCCAGGCCCCUCGUCCCCAAAUUGAAGUCUGAUGUUGAUGCAUACUAAGUAACUUUUAAGCCGAAUUACGAGGUCAAGACAAUUAAUCCGAGUUACAUAAUAACUCGUAGGCUUGAGCUUACAUAUCAACUAGUAUUUUGAUUGGUGCUAUGCACGGAUUUAUAUGAGAAGGAAGAGAAAUAUGGUCAAAUACAACAUUAUUAUCCCUUUCUCUCAUAUUCUUCCUCUUUGUGCCACUUUUUCCACCUCUAAACCUCCUACUCUCCACUACUCUCCUUUUCACUUUGUGAAUAUAACUUUUUCGCAUCCCUACAACCUUUUGUAAUUCUUUGAAAUCCUUCCCAAUUUUUUUGUAUUCCUACAACCCUUUCUAUUUUUAUCAAAUCCUAUUUUCCCUUUGCUCUAUCUCGCUGCCGCCCAAUUAUCCUAUCUCGUAUCUAAUUUUACAACCCACUUGUCUCCUAUUCUACUAUUAUUUUUAUCUAUUUAUAAAUGUAAAUGGUAACAUAUUUAUUUGGCUCGCCUACUAACAAAUGAGUUUGCGUGUGUAAUUUAAUUGGAUUGAAAUUGGUGACCAAAUUAACCCAUUAAUUAGUGGGUAUGAAAUUGACAGAUUUGGAUCACUUAUUUUGACUUAAUUAAAUUAGAUGUAGAUUCAAACUCAAUCAUUAGUGGGUAAAUCUAAAUUACUCUAAUAAUUAUAUUCUAAUUUUUGCAAAGAUGUAUUCAUCUUUUUUCCUCCUCUUUAAUUUCUAUUAUUUUAUUUUUUAAAAUUUAUCCUACUUCCUUAAUUUCUUUCAUAAAAGUUUAAUAAAUUUCGCGAAUAUUAAUUGAUUGUUUGCAUUAAUAUCUAAAUUAUUUUUAGAUUGUCGUAUAGUGAUAAAAUUUGAAACUCACUGUGAUGAUCAUUUUAGGCUCCUUUAAGCAAAUUUUUAUGUUUUUUCCUCUUUCUUUAGAUAAAAAUUGAUUUAUUAACUUGAUAUGUUGAUAUGAUUUACUAUUUUGUUGCUAUACAAAAUAUGGAUGAAAAAGUAAAUAAAAUUUGGUUGUGGGCUGUGAAUGGAUGAUUGGAUAAUCCAAACCCAUAUAAAUCUAUAUUCAUUUAUGAUUCAUCUAUUUUGAACCAUUAACUAAAUAGGAAUAUAUAGAUUAACCUAAUUAUAACUUACCCAGACUCAUAUGAAUCAUCAAAUUUGAUAACUGUCCCCUAAUCUUUACCUUCGCUAACCCUACAGUUCUAUCUUUUUAAUGCUUUCACUAUUUAGAAUUCAUUAGCUCACUUUUUAAGUGUUUUUGGAUAUAUAAAAAGUUAGAAUUAUUUUUCCAAGUUGCUGCCUCAUUUUUAAGUGUUUUUAAUCAAAUAAAAAGCUAGAAUUGCAAUCAUCGAGAAAAAGUAAACUUUCGGAUGUAAAAUUGGUGAAAUACAACCUUUUUAUCAAAAUUUUGCUAAAAUACCACCAAAAGCAACCUUAUAAAUACACCUUUAUUAAUUUAAAAUUCAUACAUAAAUUUUUCUUUACAUGCACUUUUUGGUAUAUAUGUGCUAAAUGAAAAGUCAUAUAGAUGCUUGCACGAUAUUAAUAUUGAAAUUAUUCUAAGUGCAAAUAAAAUGUCAUAAUUGUUAUUUACAUAAUCCAAUUUAAUGUUAGAGUAUAAUUUCAAUAUUCAAAUUUUAAAACUUUAAAAAACAAACCUACUGAAUAAAAUCCAACAUAAAAAAUAUAAAAUUAUAAAAAGUAAACCUAAAAAGUGCCCUCGGCUUGUUGAAUACAAAAAAAAAAGUUUAAGACCACAAGAAAAUUGAUUUGGUGAUUGAAACAUAAAUUAUUAAAAAAUAAGAGUAAUCGAGUAUAUCAUUAGAAUAUUUUGACAAAUGAUUAUUGUACCCAAAAGGAAAGCGACAAAGAAAUAAUUGGAUGAAUAACUCAAAAAUAGGACUAAUCACAUUAUCUCAAGGAUUUGGCUAGAUAAAUUAAUCCUCUUUAAUGAAGGAAUAAAAAGGGCUAAAGUGAUGAGGAUAUAAUAGGGUGAAUAAUUUUAAAAUGAAACUAAUCAAUUAUCCCUGAGAAAUUUGGCUUGACAAAUGUAUUUUAUUUAAUUAAGAAGUAAAAACGAAUAAAAAAAUAAAUAACAAAUGAUAAACAGUUUAUGAAGGAGAUAGUUGGAAAGUUUUAAAUUUUAAAUUUAACUAGUGAUAGAAUUAGUUAUAACCCACUAUUUUAAAGUUUUUAAUUAGAUUUUAUGUCUAAAAAUAUUCCAAAAUUCUAGAAAAAAUAAUGAGAAAAUUAGAAGCCAUUGAGAGGGUCUCUGCUAAAAACCCUCUCUGCAAUACAUAUAAACAAGCCUAGUACCUUGGACAAACGAAACAAAGGCAAAUUAACAAAUAUCUAACAUACAUCCUAUAGCAUAUGAAUGUUGUCCAAUUCGGUGGAAACAUCUAACAUGUUUCUAUAUGAAAACUUAUGAUGAAAAUACUAUUUUAAAUCCUAUCUCUCCAUACAAAACAAAUAGAAAAUAAAAUCAAAACGCACAAAAUUCAAGAUAUGUUACUAAAUUCUUACAAUUGAAAAUGAACAUGUCUUUUUAAAAAAGAAAAAUAUGUGUCGAAGGAAGAUUUACCUGAUAAUCAAGAGGAGUGGAAAACCAAAAUCGAUACUUUAAUGUGCCAACCGCUUGCACUGGAAAAUACCUAACCAUAUAAAGAGUAUGAGAACCCGAAAAAUUUUCUUAUUUUUAUCGAAUAAUAUUGGCUUAUUUAAAUAUUUAUCCACAUGUUCCCUCCAAAUAAUUUAUUUCAACCCUUUUUGAACCAUUUACAUGGAACUAUGACUUGCAAUAAUAAAUUUAUCCACCUGUUCCGUUAAUAAAUUUAAUUUUCGAAAACUCGUUUAGUGAGAAUAGUGAAUACACGUUUGGAAAUAGUAAUGAGUUUGAAAAUUUGGAAACUUAUAUAUAUUGGUCUUAAAAUAAGUAUUUUUAUGUUUAAGUGCUCAAGUGAUAGUUAGUUGUACUAUCGUUAUAAGAACUUCUUAGAAAUUUAACUCUAUCACGCAUAAAUCGAAAAUACGUGUUUUUACGCGCGCGAUCAAUUGAAGGACUUAAGACCUUUAUUUUGAGACUAUUAAGAGUGAAUAAUGAUAGUAUGAAUGGAAGUGCAAUAGAGAUUUAUUGCACUAGUGAAACAAACCCGAGAGGAAUCAAGCAUGAGACGCACGCGUACGUGCACUAUUCCUAGUUGACUUUUAAAGGAAUUUUUGGCCACAAAUUUUAAAGCUUCUCACGGAAGCUUACCAUCAGCACCAUCUCUUCUUUUCCUUCUCCAAGCAGCCGGCCACACCAAUGGAAGAAAGAGCUAACCUUCUUCAUCAUUUCACUUCACUUUACUCCACCAAAUCACUUCAAAUUUACACUAAACUUUGCUAAACACUUGGAGAGCAACUCAAGUUGGAAAAAGGACUUCAUUUUCACGGUUCUUGUGAGCUUUAAGAGGACCGAAAUUUCUGUCUAAGUCAUCAAUUAAGGUAAUCAAUAAUCAAUCUUGAAAUUCUUGGUUUAUGGAAGUAAUAUAGCACUUAUAAGUUCAUAUCUUCUUGUGGGUAGCUUUAUUUAUGUUGAAAAGUUCUUGUGUGGGCUCUAUGAACUCCCACUAUGAUUUGAUGGACUGAUUUGUGGUGUUUUGAUGUUAUUAAUGUUGGUUUAGUGCUUAAAUUAGUAGAAAUGAGUGAUAUUAUGGAUGAAAGUUCAAAGGGAGUGAAGAUGAAAAACUUUCUGUUUCUGCCCCUGUGAAUGUCCAUGACCCUUAGAGCAAAAUUUUGUAGUUCUAUUGACUUGUUUAUGAUAUAUACAUGUUGUGUGGGUGGUGUAGAAAGUUUCAUCAAAAAAUUUCAUGAUUUGGUUGGCCAAAUGAUGUGUUUUCGGAAGUCAGUAAAAACUGGAAAUUUUCCCGUAACUGCUCUGGCAGUGUUUUUGUUUUGGUUAUAACUUUUUACUUCGAUAUCAAAAUCGAGUGCCGUUUGCUGCACUGGAAACUAGACAUUCCCAGAUUUCCAACGGUAUAAAAUUCACGUCCUGAUUCCUCCUGAGUAGUCUAUACCAAUCGUUUGAACAUGACUAUCCUGUUUCCCUAGUUCACUGGAAGCUCUGUUUUGAGCAGCAAUUUGAUGCUCAAGUAUGAGCUAGUUGUGGGCAGAUUUUGACAACGAUUUCUUCUAAAAAACUGUAGCUUUAUGAAUCUAGUUUUCAACGCUACCAACCACACUCAAUUCCAAGUUGAAUUGAGUGAGUUAUGGCCGUAUUUCGAAACUGACUCAAUGAUUUGAAAUCCUCUUUUGGCUAGUAAAUGUCUAAAUCUUGAUUGGGACUUGUUGUCUGAAAAUUCUUGGUGUUAAUCAUCUACCAAAUGUAUCUUGGAUGUUUCUUAGACAUUGUCUAUGCAAAUAGACCAUGUUUGAGAUACUUGGUUGGUCAAACGUUUUGAAAACGGAAAAAGGAACAACCAAGACAGAUUUGCCUUGGAACUUUCGUGAUUUGGUUAACCAACUUUGCGUACGUAUUUUUCCAUGAAAUUUGACAGAGGCAUAGCCCUUAUAUGGUAGGGUGGUACUGCCAAAUUUGGUGCCAUUCCGAAUCCAUUUCAAUGCUUAAACAAAGUCCCAAAGUUUAUAACUUAAAUCUGAAAAAUUUGCCUAACCGUCUCAAUUUUUCAGCAACUUUGAGCUACUAUAACUUGGUCCUCAAAACUUUGAUUCUUGUUCCGCUCAUUUUUUUUUAAACUUUGAUUGCAACUCUAAUUGAGUUUCAAAUUUGAGGGGUUAUUUCAAAUUCUGUGAAUUUUUCCGAAUUUUCAAAGUUGGUCAAAAAUCAACCCCGAAACUGUCUUGCAAGCCUAAAACAGAAAUUUUGGGCCAAAUUUCGAAUGCCUUCCAUUUGGAAUCAUGGAAAAGUGUAUUUUAGGAACUUUUAGCACUUCGAAAAAAGUUUCCAACGGUACCAAGUUUUUCAAUUUUGGAUUUGUAAUGAGUGAGAUACGAUUUUUCAAAGAUCUCAUAUCAAAACUGAAAUUUUCGAAACUUAAGGAAAUGGAGUUUUUCGAAUUCUCCUUUUUCCCUCGAUAUCACUUGAACGUUUUACACUUGAUUUCAAAGACGAAAACUCGAUUUUUCUUGUGGUUUAAAAACCCCACUUUCGUGUCUUGAUUCGCGAGUAAUUUAGGUUCGCUUUCGUGAGAUUUUUUCUUGGAUUGUACAAGCGUACAAUCAUUCGUGAUAAUUAGGGUAUAUAAAUGAUAGUUCACUAUUAAUUGCUCAAGCUCGCACAAGGACCUUCAAGAGAAUUCCACGGUGGACACCUGAAUAUGAAGUGACAUUUCUUCUUUGUUUAUUUGGUGAGUGUCAAGUAUGUGUUAAAUGCUUAUAUGAUUGAGAUAUUAGUUGUACAAGUGUUAUACAUGACACGUAAACUUACCGAGUCGAGUGUGUACUUUAUCGCACUCGUUCUCAUUUGAAAUAAAUGACUCAUGCUUGACCUGACUUAACUUGCUUGACUUGACGUGACUUGCUUGACUUGACGUGACUUGCUUGAUCUGACUUGACUUGCUUGACCUGACCUGACUUGUCUUGACCUGACCUGACUUGCUUGACCUGACAUAACUUGACUUGAAAAAUAUGCUAUGGCUGCAUAAGUCGAUUGGAGCGAUAUCUCAUCAACCUCUGAACGAUAGCAAGUACCAUACCGAUUUGGUGGGAGGUACCUCUCGAAUCGUCUCAGACCUAUUAACUGAACGAUUGUAAGUACCACACCAAUUCGGGUGAGAGAUAUCCCUCGAAUCGUCUCAGUACCCUAGACCUCUGAACGAUAGCAAGUACCACAUCGAUCCGGGUGGGAGGUACCUCUCGAAUCGUCUCAGAACUCUAAAGCAUUCUAAGUCGAUUGGAGCGAUGUCUCAUCGACCUCUGGACGAUAGUAAGUACCAUAACGAUCCGGGUGGGAGGUACCGCUCGAAUCGUUUCAAAACUAUAAACUGAACGAUAGUAAAUACCACACCGAUUUGGAUGGGAGGUACCUCUCGAGUCAUCACAGAAACAUACAUGGAAUACGUGAAGGGCUACGAACUCAAUUACCUACCCGGGGGACGGGGUGUCGUCACGAGAAGGUAUUAAAAUUGAAUUUGGGCAAGGUAAGAAAUCAUUAGUUCCAGAGAGUUUCUGCAUCCUACUCAAGGGUGUUUAUUAUAAAUUAUGAAAUUUCUUGAAUGUUAUAGUUUUCACUAUUGUGUAAGUGCUAUUAUUAUUGAAUUACUUGUCUUGCAUAUUUUCUUGGCCUCACGAGCAUCCGCUCACCCCGUUAGACUUGCUUUCUUUAACAGGAGCUGAAAUGGAAGGAAUUAUGGAAAGGUCGACUUGAUGGCCUUUUUAUUAGAAUUUUGAAUGUAUUCAUUUAGUCAACUUUUGAAAACUGUAUAUUUUGGGAUUGUAAGAUAUUUUGGUAACUUAUGAUGUAAGACUUGAUCGAUUAUUAAGAAAUUGACCUUCCUUUAUAUUUUCGACUUUUAGUACUGAUUGGUUAUUUUUAAAUUUGAAUUGAAUUUGUACCGAGUUCUGGCGAGAGUUGGACAGGCGUCCCGCAGAUACCCUUGGGUUCGCCCUUGGGAGAAAUAGGAGCGUCACAAAUAGGCUAUAUAUAGGCAUAAGAAUUGAUAAGAAUAUUAAAAAUAGUUUUAUGUUAAUUUAAGUUGCUUAAAGUACAGAACUUUAGAUAGAAAAUAAGAAUUGAUAAGGAUAUAAAGAGAUAUUGAUAAGAAUAUAAAAAGAUGAUAAUAAAAAAUAGUUUUACUAAAGACGUGCAUGCUAAAAAAAUUAUAUGAGUCAUACCUUGUUGUUAGACCUAGAAGUUCACAAAUCAAAAGAGGAGCAAGCGGCCGCAAAUAUAUGAUUAUGAUAGAAUGAUAAUCAGCCGCGAAUAUAGGAUAGAAUGCUAAGGACGGUUUUAUAAGUCAAACAUGGAUGAUAAGGAUGAUUUUAUAUUUGAAAUUUGAUUUAGAUCGAUAUUGAUAAUUGAUUUCGUGCUUAUGAAAAGAUAGAGAUAAACUCCAUAUAGAGCAUAGGUUAUUUUUAAAAAAAAAGGUGAAAAUCAUGGAAUAAAUGAACAAAGGCAAAAGAAGAGAGAGAUGGAAGAGCGUAGAUUAUUUUAUAGAGCACAUUAAAACCACUUGCCCUGUCGUUAAGUCAUGUAGGAAAGAGAAAGCAUGAAACGAUAAAAAUGAAAAUAUGAUUUUAUUAUAUAUAUAUAUGACUAGUAUGAAUACCCGUACUACGCACGAUGUUGACAUUAUUGAAAAUAAAAUGAUGAAUAAAAAAAGGUUAAAAAAUUGUACCAACACAAUUAAAAUGUAAUAUCGGUCUAACAAUAGUUUAAGAUAUGAUAGAAUAUGUAUAUCAUUCAAGAACUGUUUUUUUGGGAAGAUAGAUUUUGAAAAAAUAAUAGAAAUUUAUAUUAGAAAAUGAAUAAUAUAUGAAUAAAAAUGAAUGUAAUUGAAUGUUGUUAAAAUGAAACACUUCCAAAUAUUAUGCAUUUGAUUUGAUAAUUUUGCAUGAAGAUGCGAACACUUUUCACACCAAUCAACUUUUAGUACGAAAGUCAAAAUUGGUGAUUUAAUUAAUUCUGUUGAAUUUUGUGGAGUGCGUACUACAAAUAAAAAUGCACGAUCUUUGCCUGAAUUGAUUCGUUGGUUGAACAACCUUUCACUAUUUUUCUGAGAAAUAAGCAUGUACGAAAUUCAAAAUUAGUGUAUAUUUUUAUAUACUUUAUAAAUAGCAUUAUAAAAAAGCACUAUAUAUCAAGAAAUUCUACCUUUAUUUGUAAUUCUCUGAGAUAAGAAAUAUCACAACCAAAUACGAAUCGUGCAUGUCUAUCUUGUAGAUUAAGAAAGUUCUCUUAAUUAGAGUGAGCACGCAAGAAAGUUGAAUGAGAAUGCUAUGUUUUGGAGGACUUUUAAUUGAAGUGAAAUUCUUAAAUUGGAGAAUUCUUAAUUAGAGUGGGAAAAUGGGGGAAAUGUAAGGAAAACGUGAACGUGAUUAUAGGAUUUUUAGAAGCGGUUAUAAGAUUAGUUAAAAGAUAAACAUUUCUUAAAUUGGAGGACUCUUAUUUGGAGUGGGAGACGUGGGAAAAAUGUGAGUAUAAUUAUAGGUUUUGUAAUAUACUCAAAUCACCGAUGAGAUAAAGUUUGCCUAAAUAAACUUUACAGUAUCCUAAUUCUUUGCAAAAAAAAAAAGCGCUAAAUAGUUAUAAUUGGCAUUGCAAUUUACGGCAACGUGCCAGUGGCAUCUAGUCCUAAUUUUUUUUUGGAUCAAAAUCAAGUCCUAAUUGAUUCUGCUGUUUCUCGAUCAUGUUGUAUGCUUCCAAAUUCUACUUAGCGUGUAAUAAUUGAUAAUGGGUUAUUCUAUUUUUUCAUGGUAUUGGACAGGUGAAAAUCACACCUGAAGUGUGAUAAAUUUACUAUAAACUUCUAAUAUUAUCUCCCCUAAUUUUUGUGUACUUUUUAAAAAUUUUAAACUUUUGUCAACAAUAGGCUAGUCACGCAAAUAAAAAAAAGUGACUGGUCACACAUCUUAGUCUUUGCCCUAAAGAACUCAAUCUAGCAAAUUUCUUAGAACAAUGGUGAAAAAAAUCAUAUUGUUUCUUUUUUUUUUUGGAUCUGAAACAGCCCUAUUCAUUUUUUAAAAAAUAAAUAAAUUGGCCAUCUUACGUUCAUUAAGAAAGGAAAAAAAUUUUUGUCACUACACAUGGAUGUCCGGCCAUCCUAAAAGGAAAAAAAACAAUUGUUCCGUUCUUGCAAUUUUUUUAGAGUUAAAUAUAGUAAACCCCUUAACUUUACAUUUAGUUGCACUUUACCCCUUCAACUUUACAUUUAGUUGCAUAUUUGUGAUUUUUUUGAAACGUGAUUGUAAUUUGCAACGCUCAUUUGUAGGCGUGGUUAUAGGAUCAGUUUAGUGAUAAAUAUUUUUUAAUUAUAAAAAUGUAAAAUUGUAUUAAAAUAGCAUACGAAUGAGCAUUUGUCUUUAAUUAAGAAGUAAAAAGGAUUUAAAGUAUAAAUAACAAACUAUAAAUGGUUUAUGAAGUAGAUAGUGAGAAAGCUUUAAAUUUUAAAUUUGACUGGUGAUAGGGUUGGUUAUAACCCACUACUUUUUAUGUAUUAAAAUAAAUACAAAAAUCUAGAAAAAAGAAUAAGAAGUUUGAAAGUCAUUGAGAGGCUCUUUCCUAAAAACCCACUCUGCAAUUGUAUCUAUAUAAAUUUGAGAAGGGAUUUUUUACAACGAGCCUCCACGUAUCUUCCUACUACCAAUUCCAUUUUUCUAGCAUUUCAUAUUUAAUUUAAUUUAUAAAAUAUAUUUCUCUCAACUUCCACAUCUACUAUUCACAUUUGAAAUUGUUGGUUACUUUUUAAAAUCAUUUCAUUUCAAAUUGUUAGUUAAUGUGCAUGUUAUCCUAUUUGAACUUCAACCCAUCACGUUUCCGAUUGCCUUGCGUUAUUUAUGAUUCUACAAAAAUUAAAACUUCUAUAAGACCAUAAGAAGAGAUAAUAAAUAUAACACAAUUUCAUGCUUUCUUAUUAAUUUAAAUAAGUAAAAUUAUUUACACUCCAUUUCUUAGUUAAAAUUAUUUACACUCCACUUCAAUAAUCAUUUUGAUCAUAUAAUUUUUAUUAAUUAGACUAUAUGAUAAAACAAAUGGUGGAAUUGUAAAUAAUAAAAAAUGGAGUGCAAAUAACAUUUUCUUAGGUAAGAAGUGGCUUCCAUACCUUUCUAAUUUAAAAAAGUAGUAACUCCGCUUAUAUAGAAAUUUGGUUUGAAAUUUAUUAGUGGGAGGGUAAAUAAAAAGAAAACAUUGCCAAAUUUAGUAACAAUAAAAAAGUAAAUGAUAAUAUUUUAUCUUUUAACUUAGUAAUUCUAAGUAAAAGGGCAAAAUUAAAUAGAAAACAAAAAGGAAAUAAUGUCGUGGAUUUAAAAAAUCAAGAAUGAUACCAUUCAUGAAAUUCAAACUAUGAAAUUACUAAAUAAAAAACAAAGUACUACUAGCCUUUUAACAUGAAAUUUUUUAUUGAAAUAUUCAUUUUUGAUAAAAAAAAAUAAUGAUAAUAACAACGCCAAUUCUACCAAAUUUUUUUUAAAAAGUAACAUUAUAGCUUAAGAGAAAUAUAUAGAACAUUCAACCCGUUUGGAUUAGCUGUUUUUGAGGUUGUUUUUCAAAAACAGCACUGUAGCAUUUCGUUUUUCAAAUACAAAUCCGCUUGGAUUAGUUAUUUUUGGGGUUGUUUUUCUAAAACUAUAUGAAAAACUUUUACUGUAGAUUUUUUUGAAUUAUUUUUGAGGUAUUUUUAAAACAUAUUUUUGAGUAUUUUUAUAAUUUUUUAUUUUUUUAUUUUUAUAUUUAUAUACAUUUAUGCAUUUAUAAUACAUUUAUAAAUAUUUAUAAAUAAAUAUAUUUAUAUAAAAAUAUAUAAAUGCAUUAUAUUAUAUAUAAUACAUAAUAUAAAUAUAUUUAUAAAUGUAUAAAUUAUAAAUGAAUAUUAUAUAAAUGUUUAUUAUAAUUUAAAAUUUAAAAUUUUUAUAUUUUUAUAUUUUUAUACAUUUAUGCAUUUAUAAUAUAUUUAUAAAUAAAUAUAUUUAUAUAUUUAAAUAAAUAUAUACAUAAUAUAAAUAUAUUUAUAAAUGUAUAACUGUAUAUUAUUAUAAAUGUAUAAAUUAUAAAUAAAUAUCAUAUAAAUGUAUAAUUAAUAAUUAAUAAUUUUUAUAUUUUUAUAUUUAUAUACAUUUAUGCAUUUAUAAUACAUUUAUAAAUGAAUAUAUUUAUAUAAAAAUGUAUAAAUGUAUUAUAUUAUAUGUAAUAGAUAAUUUAAAUAUAUUAAUAAAUGUAUAAAUGUAUAUUAUUAUAAAUGUGUAUAAAUUAUAAAUUAAUAUUAUAUAAAUGUAUAAAUUAAUAUAUUAUAAAUAUAUAUUAAUAUUAUGUAUAAAUGUAUGAAUAUAAUUAAUAUAAAUAUAUAAAUGUGUUAAUAUUAUGUAUAAAUAUAUAAUUAAUAUUAUGUAUAUUAAUAUAAAUGUAUAAAUGUAUUAUAUUAUAUAUAAUACAUAAUAUAAUGUAUUUUAUAAAUAUACAUAUAUAUAUUAUGUAUAAAUGUAUAAUAUAUAUAAUAUAUUAUGUAUAUAUUAAAUAUAUAAUAUAUAAUAUAUAAUAUACAAUAUUUAUAUAAAUGUAUAAUUACAUAUUUAUAUUAUAUAUAAUUUAUAUAAUAUAUGAUAUUUAUAUAAAUAUAUUAUAAAUGUAUACAAAUAUAUUUUAUAUAAAAUAUUAUAUUUAUAAAAUGUAUAAAUUAAUAUAUAAAUAUAUAAAUAUAUAAUAUAAAUUAAUAUUAAUAUAAUUUAUAUAUAAUAUACAUAAUUGAAAUAUACAUAUUAUAUAUAUUAAUAUCUAUUAUAAAACAAAAUUGCAUAAAUAUAUUUAUAAAUUUAUAUAUAUAAAUAAAUGUAUUUAUAUAAAUAUAUAAUAUUUAUUUCAAAUUAUAUAUUAUAUAAUAUUAUACAUAAUUGGAAUAAAUAUAUUUAAAUUAAUAUAAUAUAUAUAUCCUAUAUUUAAUUGAAAUAAACAUAUUAAAUAUGUAUUUGGAGUUGUUUUUGAUAUAUUGUUUGGAUAUGUGUUUUUGAAAUUGUUUUUGAAAUACACAUUUACUGUAGCAUUUGGAAUGUGAAAAACAGUUUUUCAAAAACAGCCCCAAAAACAAGAAUCCAAACGGACCCGUACGUAAUUUGUAUAUAUCUGGCCCAAAUUUGACAUUAGAUUUGAAUAAGAGUGCAAAAUCCAAACACUAAGGAUAAGUUUUGGUAUCACUAAGGAUACAUAUUUUAUGUAAAUAUGUAUUUGUUAUGUUAAAUAUAUAUAUAUAUAUUGAUUGUAAUACUUGAGAAUAUUAUAGAUAUUAUCAGUUUUUCAUUUUCAUUUUUAGAUACUAAUAAUUGCAACUAUUGCAAUUAAUUUUUAAUUUUAUAUUUUCAUUAUGAUAGGUAAAGUUAAAUAUAUUGGGUCACAGGGAUAUGAAUUUAGAGGUUAGGUAAAGGGGGAAUAGGGAGGGAAGAAAAUGGUGAGAAGUUGAAAAAUAGCAGGAAAGAUUGAAGAAGAAAUAUGGGUUACAAGGAUGGGCGGAAAAGGGAGAGAAGAAAAAAGGGGAUUGCAGGGAUAUGACAGAAAUGACAAAAAAUAAUAAUAAUAGAGAGAGUGACACCAUGAUAGAAGAUAUGAAAGUCAUAUGAGGCAUUUGAUGACUAAUCUAAAUGCGGUCAACAAUUUUAGGGGCACAAGAUAUGAGAAAGAUUUUUUUCUAAAAAUGGAAGAAAAUAAAUUGGUUAUAAUUUAUUUUUUUAUAUUAUAAGUUUUGAUAUAUGGGUAUAACAUAAUAUGUUUUGUCGGAUAUUAAGAAAUUGACCUUUUUCUAUAAAACUUUUCUUACCUUACCAUCCAACCCAACCAUAUCCUUAAAUGCGUUAAUAAUUCUUUUAUCAUGUAAAUCAUUAUAGAUUAUUUUUUUUUUCAAAUUAUUAAGCAUACACUUCUUUAAAAUUUUGAGUCUGCUGUGGGAUAUAUAAAGUAAUUUCCCACUAAAAAAUACAACUAGUGAUUAAACCGAUUCAGUAAUUCCCAAGAAAGAUCGUCGAAACAAUCUCCUUAGACAGAAUUACUUGGAAUGGUAAUUCUGUCUAAGGAGAUUAUUUCGACGAUCUUUCCUGGGAAUUACUAAAUCGAUUUAAUCACUAGUUGUAUUUUUGAGUGGAAAAUUACCCGGUUUCCCCAACAGGAUAUCACACAUAAUAUUAUAUAUACAUUAUUAGUAUAUAAAAUAUUUACUCUAUCAAUUAAAAGGAGCUCGAGAACCCAUCACAAUUUACUCUCUCUCUCUCUCUCUCAUCCAAAAACACAGGCACAACAUUCUAGUAUUCACAUACUUGGUAAGCUUGUUAUUUUUAUGGAAGCAUGAGUACUGCCUGCACAUGGUAACAAGUAUCUUUCCUAGUGUGAAUGAUACGUUGUUACCUUCUGUAGCCAAGUCAUCCGCCGAAUUUCAAAAAAUUGAUGGAGGAGUAUGUCAACUUUUGCACAGGUGCAUUUUGAGUGAAAUUAUAUACCAUUAGCUGGGUUAUUGCUUUAUCUCUGACUCCAGUCCACUGAAUGUGACCUGGAUGCUAAACUUCGACAGAGCUGUCUAGAAAAAUUAUGCGGGGUAUAGCUCUGGCAUUGGGUGGAUCACCAGUUGAAUUUGAAGGGACAAUAGCCGGUGAUCCAUUUUGGGUGCUGCGUAUAAUUGGCUAUCCUGGUGUCUCCCCUGCAAAUGGCCAAGACAUGCCAAAAAAUGAUAUUGGAUGGUGAGAUUGCUGAAGAUGGAUUUCAUCUUCUUUUAUUUCACUUCUAGCACUUGAUUGAUAUGAUUUUGUGCUUGUUUAUGUCUUUUAUCCAAAUGAACGCAGUGGAGCUCAUACGGAGUUUGGUGUAAGCAUGAGGUGUUCUUAUUUAUACGUGACGAUGACCUCUUGUUCUAUACCAGGUCUGGUGACGUUAGUCAAUCAAGAUGAUGGUAUUACUGCUCUUCAGGUAUCGCCCUCCUGUCUACUUUCUUCUUUAUUUGCCUUCAUUUUUUAGCAUUAGUGUGUAUCCUGAAGUUCUUCGUGUUAAACUUGGGUCUGUUUCAUUAGUUUCUGCUUGAAAUAUGCAUGUUUCUCUGUGUUCCAUUGACACCACUCUGCACUCUUAAAACUUUCAUUAGUUUCUGCUUGAAAUAUACAUGUUUCUCUGGUUUUUCAUUGUCACUACUCUGCACUCUUAAACUAGUCCCUUUGUAGGUAAAAAACCUUUCUGGAGAGUGGAUAUCAGGACCACCCAUUCCUGGGACAUUUGUUCGCAAUAUCAGUGACAUGCUGAAGGUAUGCAUCUCAAUAAUUGAUUCUCCAGUGGUUUUCAUGCUGUCAUCCGAUAACUGUUCUUAAUAUUUGGGAAUCUUCAGAUUCUAUCCAAUGGCCUUUAUGAAUCAACAUUGCAUCGGGUGACUAACAACUCUCCCAUUUAUCGGGUCUGCGUGGCCUACUUUUAUGAGGUAAUCCUCUCUCUUAAUUUUCCUUUUUUAUUUUGAUUCAGCUUCUUAAUCAAUCUCCUUGGUUUUUUUCACAUGAAUAGCCAAAUUAUGAUGCUGUAAUAGAGCCAUUGGAUGUAAGCGUAAAACAAACUGGUGGAACCACGAGGUUUGAAGGUGCUGUUUACGGUAAACACUUGGUCAGUAAAGUCCUGACAAAUUUCAUAUACUGAGGAAUAAAUAUAUCUCCCCAUUUUGCCUGUUUCGACUGAAUCUCUCACAUUCACGAAUUUUGGGGAUUUCAUCCGUUAGCCGUUGAAAGGAUGUACAAUAAUAUCUUGUGUUUAUUGGAUUAAGUUGUCGGUUGAUUUAAGAUGACAUGACCUCAUCAAGUUCUCGGAGUUUUUGGAACUCUGUACCUAGCUGAUCCCCGUUUCUUUCAUUUGGUUUUGCCUUGAAUUGUGCAAUUAUGUUGGCGUAUCAGUAUUCAACUAUUCAUAAAGCACCCUCAACUUUGGAACAUAAAUAUAAGCUGGUUGGCUUAGGCUUUAACUACGUAUUAAUGACAGCGAUGGUUUACUGUAUACACUUAUAAAAUACUCCCUCCGUCCCACUUUGACAGUUUUGAUUCUUUUUUUACACAAUUUAAGAAAAAGUAGUUAAUUUUAUUGAAACAAUCAAUUUAGGUGGCUAUUUUUCUAAAAUACACUCACAUUAAUUAGAGUACAACUUUAUGAGAACUUGAAUUGAUAGUAAAAAAAGAAUAAACUCUCAUUAAAUGGGGUAGGUUUAUAGUAACAACAACUUACAUUGAAUAAGGGUAUUUUAAGAAAAUUAAAAUACAAUUACAUUCUUCAAUUGGAAAGUGGACUAUAAUUUGGGACAGACGAAAAAGGAAAACAGGACUAUCAAAGUGGGACGGAGGGAGUAUUUCGCGGACAGAGGAAGAUUUUCUCCUCCAGCUUCUGACAACAAAAUACAUACAUAGACUUAAUAUUACGGCGUAAUGAUGGGGUAGGCACUUAGGCGGCUGGCUGCCGACACCGAAAUUCACGAGCCUGGCUCUUUUAAAGCAGCAUAUGUCGGCGAUGGAGGCCUUGCCCGCUUGGGCACAUGAUCGGAUGUCUGUGGUGUGCCCUUAGAAACAUAAAUGCCGCAAGGCACGUAGUUGAGCCAUUUCGGGUCCGGGCAGGUCCAGCGCCUUGAGAAGAAAGCCUCGCAUUCCUCGGGGCUUCUUUGCGAAGGAAGGUCUAGAAUGCAAUUCAUGGUUACGUUCAGGACUUUCUUCUCGAUUAACUUCCAGCAUUCUGGUCCGACUUGAGUGAAAUAAUUGAACUUGAGGUCCAGUACCUCCAGGUCGCCCAGGAUGCACAAGCUCUCUGGAACCGCCCCGUAGAAUUGGUUGUACGACAAGUUCAGCUGCUGAAUAUCUUUCAAGCACCCGAAUGAUUGUGGAAUGGGACCUGUCAAUUGGUUUAUGCUGACAUCCACAAUAUGUGUUUUAUUCAGAAACCCAAUCUCAUAAGGUAGGCAACCGGAGAGGCUGUUGUUUAAGAAAAGAACCUCGAGGAGAUUUCUGGAAGUUUGGCCAAUGCUCUUGGGGAUUGGGCCGGUUAAUUCGUUGUUUGCAAAGGUGAGAUAGAGUACAGGGGUUUGGCCAAGAUUGUGGGGGAUUUUUCCGGAGAAUGCGUUGUUGUUGAGGAAGAGCACGUCCAGGUCUAGUGUGAAGGCCUGAGGCGGGAUUGUCCCUGUUAACUGGUUGAACCUGACGUCCAGGUAUGUCAAGUUGGUUGCCCCUAGGGCUGCUGCGGGGAAAGCUCCUACGAGCUUGUUGUUGCUCAGGUCGAACUCGAAGAAGUUUGGAAGUUUGGAUAUUCCAAAGGGAAUGUCACCUGUGAAGUUGUUGGAGUUGACAUGGAAGAUUACCAGGUCCUUGAGAUCUUCAACGAAGUCUGUUGCAACGAGUGGACAGCCAGGUCCGCCGUUAAAGUUGAAGCCAUUGAAAUUGACGCCAACGACUCUAAACUUGUUAUCUUUGGUGCUUCUGUCGCACACGAAGCCUUUGUAUUUGGAUUUGUCGUAACAAAUGCGGUUGCCCGUCCAGGUUUUGGUGACGCCAAAAGGGUCGCACUUUAUUCUCCUUUUGAACCUUUGGAUUACUUGGAUGGCCAUUUUUAGUUCCUCGGAAAGAGUAAAUGGAGGGGGCGGGGGUGGACAGGGAGGAGGGGGCGGUGGCGACGGGGGUGGAGGGCAGGGGGGCUGCAUUGGAGGCUGUGGGCAAUCUUGGCAUUCUCCAUUGUCAGGAGGGUAGGCAGGGGAAUAGGGAGGACUGCCAACCCCUAUAACGAUUUCGAGUGUUUCCCUGUUGAUCGGGGUAGUUGCUGGAGUACCAUUACCAACGACUUGAUAAAACCAGCAAGAGUGCAGGAUAACAAAGAAGACAAGAAGAGGAAAUGUGAGUGAGAAAGUGUUCUCUCUCUCCAUAUUCCAACACUUCUGAUGAUUGAACCAGGAGGAAGGCACAACCUAUAUAUGCUAAUGGGUAGGGAAUGGCAAUGAUAGGUGAUUCAGUGAUUUGAGCCAUACUGCCAAUAAAGAGAGAUGAGUUCAUGAGGAUGACGUCCUUCAAUUGUACCAUGAGUUUCUGUUGUUUUGGGCACUAUGAGUGGGGCUUCCUCAUCAGGGCGGAGCCAGAAAAAAAUCUUAGAAGUAACAUGUGAAAUUUAAGAGGGGCAGUGGGGACCGUGCCCCCAGUGCCCCCACCUUAAAUCUGCCUUGUUCCUCAUGCAAUAUGUAGAUUCUUUUACAUGUGUUGUGUUGUGUGUAUACAUAAAAUUUUAAAAAUAAAUAAAUAUGUUAAAAAAUGUGUUUAUAAUAAUACAAGUAAAUAAUUUUUUGAUAAAUAAUUACCAUCCAAACGGAUCAAGUAUUUAAGGAGUUUACAAGUUUUUAAGAAAUGAAAAUUAAUACUACUACUCAGAGCAUUUUAAUCGUAAAAUGCCAUUUCUGCAAUUGACCAGUGAUCUACGUGUCAGAUAGUAUUGGAUUUUUAUUUGUAGUAAGGUAGGCCGCCAAAGUGACAUCAGACGUUUCAAAUGUUAAGUUCUCCGCUUAAAGUUUGCCGUCUUUUAUUCUUUCUAUUUUCUUUUCUGCUUUAGGGUGAAGAGUGUCUUCUUUUUUUUUUUUACAAAAGCUUGAUUUUGAUUGUAAACCUACCCAUACGUUCCGAAAAUAUUUAAGAUUUACCGGAAAAAAAAAAUAAAAACUACAACUUAUUAGCUACAGCUAUCUUUACUCCGAUCUACUCUAUAAAUAAGAGCAACACUUUCACUUUAAAAGAAAAAAGAAAGAAUAAUACAUCGAUGAUGUCCAAUAACACGACGGACUUGGCAGGAUGAAGCGGCCUGCAAUGGCUGUGAAUCCGUUCCCUUUCAAAACCAGCAAGUCCGUUGCCCCAGCGCUCCCCUUUUACAAAAGGCAACCGACACAUCCGCCGCAGCAGGUUCGAGACAGCUCAAAAGGCAGGCCGCCAGAAAAGUGAAAGAGAUAGUAGCCAGUAGGACAAAACUUCGCAUGAUUGACCUUUCAACGAGGAUCUGUCCUCUUACUAUUAUUUCCUAGGACAAUUGCCCUCCCAAUGCAAUUCCGGAGGAGCCAUCCCAAUCGUCAAUACAUCCUUCCAAUCUUGUGCAUGUGCACUUCCUCCUUGAUGUUCCUACUGUGUCGCAGUUGACAUGUGCAUCCCCAAUCGUCUAUUCUCACCGGCAUAAACAUUUUACACUCAAUUUUGUAUCUGCACUAACAAACUGUUCCCCUAAUAUAUCUUUACAGGCUACUCAGAUGCCAAGGAAAAUUAAACAAAUAUCUUCAAGAGGGACCAAUAGGUUCCACUCUGCCUUUCCCAGAGUUCUAUAGCUGCCCUUUUCUGCUGUCUUCUCUGGAAGAGUUCUAUUUUCAUUCCAUCUUUUACUAUUUUAAUGCAAACUAGGGCCAAAAAAAAAAAAGGGUUCACGAAUCUACCAAGUUAAGGUUUUUAAAUUUUCUGGCACAAUUUCACCACCAAAGUAUUCCUUUAAAAUUCCUAAAGCUUUGCCUUCAACAAUGAUGACCAUCCAAUCUGCAGCCUAUGUCAGAUAGUGAAGCAGCAAAAAGAUAAAAGAGGAAAGUAGAAAACAAGGCAGCUAAACGUGUCGCAUGAAAUUUCAACUGUCAGUGGCACUCGUAUGGUUUCUAACUUGUCCGACACUGGCGCACACAGUUUUGCCAACACUCUAGAUUUUAUUGCACUUUUGUCUACAAAGAGACGUCUAAAUGCUACUGAUAGGAUAGAUGAAAACCACUACUCUGCAAAAGGAAGGAAGAUGGAACUUCAUUAUGAUUGCAAAGAGCGCUAUGGUGAGAAAACUAAGCAAUCUUUAACUAAAUUCAAUGAAGCCAAGAACAGAAUGACACUGAGGAAGCAUAUAGUGAAACAGUGUUUCACACUGGCAAAUGUCUAACAAAUGCAAAAGCUAAUACAAUGAACUCAGAACAAGUUAUCCUUGGAAGGCACUAUUACCUCACCAACAGCACUGAUCAAGCAAACAAAUUUCUUCGUACUAAGCAACUCUUCAGGUGAAAGAUUGUAAACAAUUCUAAGCUAAAGUGCUGAUUACCGAACAACAGAGUGAAGUACAUUCAUGAUACUUUAGGACCAUGAUUAACAAAAUAUUCCAGCUCAAAAGCCAAAUAAUGGCAGAAGAAGGAUAAAGUAACUUCUCUUACCUCAUCACAUGUCACAGGAAGAAUCAAGAGGAAUCAACUCUCAUGCUGUUAACCUCCUCAUUCAACCACUCGGGCAUUACUUCCACUAGUAGCAAGCUAACAGCUAUUGACUAGCAGUAGAAAGAAUAACAGUGUAACUCAACCUCCUCAGACACCACUUUGGCAGAAUUCUAUACUACAGCAAGCCUCAAAUAUGAAAUCUCUUCCAGGACCAUAAAUCUCAUGUCGCAAAUCCAUUUGCAGAUGCCCUCUCCACUCUGCUAUCCUUCACAUACAGUGGUAUCCUCACACCAAGAUCCCUAAGUCGAUUAACCACGUCGUAGAGAAACUCAAAUGUGAGUUUUGAUUGUGCAUUAAGGUCAUCUCUUACAUUUGGAUGUACCCUGAACCAAUCUCCUAGCAUCUUAUGCACAUGGGAACGAAUCAUUCUCCAUGGCACUGGAUAACUCUCACAAAACUUUAAAUAUUCAACUAGUAAAUCCGCCUGGUCCAGUUUUCCAUCUACACAGAUAUCAUCACUUCCUGAUACCCAUUCGACAGUACGGUAUCCAGCAAAGAGGGCUGGGUUUUCCAGCAGAGACUCAGCUGAAAGUACCCCCUCAACCGCAGUCUCUUCCAAACAGCUCUGCACAUCUUCCAUGUAUCUUAUAUUCCCAUUAGCCAGAACAGGGAUUCUCAUGACAUCUCUAACAGCCUUGAUGGCACUCCAAUUGGCACGAAAUUUCUUCCCAUCUUUUUCAUCCCUAGUCCGACCAUGUACUGCCAAAAGAGCACAACCAGCAUCUUCCAACAUCUUGGCAUAAUUGAUUGUGUCUUCCAAAUUCGGGAAAAGUCGUAUUUUGCAGGAGAUUGGAACACUAAGGUUGUUUGCUAGUUUUUCUACCAUAGAUUUAACCAAAGGAAGAUUGUCCAUAAGGAAAGCUCCAUAAUUCCCUCGCCUAGCGAUACGCUGCGGACAUCUGCACGGAUGGCAAAUAUACAACGCUUAACUAUGCCUACUUUCAACCAAACUCAACGAAAAGUGAUUGUAAUGGUACAAGCUCACAGCAAGACAACUUCCAGAUGCCAGUUACAUGGAAUUGCAAGGAAAUUAUACUCGAAAGAAUUAGCCACGGCAAAAAGUGAGCAAUCAGUAUAGUUAGAGUCAAUAUGGAAAAACUGUUCUAGAAUACAUGUACGAGAUAAAUAUGCAGCACUAGGUGCAAUAUCAGCUUAAUGAAAAUGCCCGUUAUGUCAUUCAUUACGGGAGUUCCUCCUUCUACAGUAGUUAGCAAUAGUAGCUAAACAAGGAAGGAAAAACAUGGGUAGAAGGCGUUACCCCAAAUUGAUGUCUACAUAAUCGCAGUAGGGUUCUACUCUCCGCGUAGCCUCCAACAAUAUAUCUGGAUCAUUCGCACAAAAUUGCACAAAUAGCGGACGGUCCUCCUGUCAUUAUUUCUCAGCAAAUUUCUCCUUAAUGAAAUUCAAAACUAUACAACUUCACAGACUAAGUAACAAGAAGCAUAAGACAAGUAACUAAAAACAAGACCCGAAAUUACCUUGCAGGUGGUAAAUUCUUGAGAGCGGUACUUUUCAGUUUCGGUAAAAAUACGAGAGUGAAGCAUAGGGGUAUAAGCAGCUUGAGCUCCGUACUUGCGGCAAAGCAUGCGGAAGGGGAGCUCGGAGUUGUCGACCAUGGGGGCCACUAUGAACUUAGGUUGCCCAAGCUUCUUCCAGUGUGCCCAGGCUCUCUCGAUCCGCGACUCUGUGCUCAAGUACCCGUUUGGAUUUGGGGCCGGGAGGCCGUCCAAAUGGGCUGUCUCUCCUUCUGGUUCUCCUUGUGGUUCGGAACAUAGGCGGUCGUCGUCGUUGCAGUUUGACGAUGAAGAGGAAGUUAGGGUUUCGAUGGCCAUCAAGUUAUACGAUGAAUUGGGCGGCUGUGGGCAAAUACUACGUGUGGCGCAGAGUGGCUUCCUAAUAAAUCUCAUAAGGAGGCGAUGGAGGCUGGGGAGGGUACGCAGCCCAUGACCACCCUUGAAGUUGGGGAGGGGGAAGUUUUUGCUUCAGUUUAUUUGGAGGGAGGAGGCGGGGGCCCGCGGGAUUAUAGCUGUUUUAGAUGGGUAAAAAAAAUCAAAUCUUUUGUUCAGACAAGGAUAGGGUUGUUUUGGAGCUGAGGCUCCAAAUAAGUCUGAUCUUGAUGCAUUCUAAGUAACUUUUAAGCCGAAUUACUCAAGACGAUUAAUCCGAGUUACAUAAUAACUCGCAGGCUCAAGCUUACGUAUCAACUAUCAACUAGUAUUUUAACCUGUGCUAUGCACAGGUUUAUAUGAGAAUGAUGGAAAAUAUUGUCAAAUACAAUAUAUUAUUAUUACCCCUUUCUCUCGUAUUCUCGUCAUUCAUACCAUUUUUUUCACCUCUCAACCUCUUCUUUCCUCAAUAUUUCCCUUACUCUCCACUACUCUCAUUUUCACUUUUUGAAUCUAACUUUCUCACAUCCCAACAAUCUUUUCUCAUUUCUUCAGAUUCUACCCAAUUUUUUUUGUAUCCCUACAAUCCUUUCUCGUUUUCAUCAAAUUCUAGUUUCUCUUGGCUUUAUCGCGCUCCCACCCAAUUAUCCUAUCUUUUAUUUAAUUUUACAGUCCACUUGUCUCCUAUUCUAUUAUUAUUUUCAUCUAUUUAUAAAUGUAAAUGGCAACUGACUCGCAUAUUAACAAAUGAGUUUGCGUGUGUAAUUUAACUGGACACAAAUGAGUGACCAAAUUAACCCAUUAAUUAGUGGGUAUGAAAUUGAUAGAUUUGGAUCACUUAUUUUGACUUAAUUAAAUUAGACGUAGAUUCAAACUCAAUCAUUAGUGGGUAAAUCUAAAUUACUCUAAUAAUUAUAUUCUAAUUUUUGCAAAGAUGUAUUCAUCAUUUUUCCUUUUCUUUAAUUUCUAUUAUUUUAUUUUUAAAAAUUUAUCAUACUUCCUCCAUUCCUUUCAUAAAAGUUUAAUAAAUAUUGCGAAUGUUAAUUGAUUGUUUGCAUUAAUACUUAAAUUAUUUUUAGAAUAUAGUAAAGUGACAAAAUUUGAAACUCACUAUGAGCAAUUUUUAAAGUUUUUUCUCCUUCUUUAGGUAAAAAUUGUUUUAUUAACUUCAUAUGUUGAUAUGAUUUACUAUUUUGUUACUAAACAAAAUAUGGAUGAAAAAGUAAAUAAAAUUUAGUAGCGGGUCGUGAAUGGGUGAUUGGAUAAUCCAAACCUAUAUAAAACUAUAUUCAUUGACGACUCGUUUAGUUUGAACCAUUAACUAAGUAGGAAUAUAUAGAUUAACCUAAUUAUCACUUGCCCAAACUCACAUGAAUCAUCUAAUUUGAUAACUUGCCCAAAAUUUUAUCAAAAUUUUGCUAAAAUACCACCAAAAGCAAUCUUCUAAAUACACCUUUAUUAAUUUAAAAUUCAUACAUAAAUUUUUCUUUACGUGCACUUUUGGGUGUACAUGUGCUAAUUGAAAAGUCAUAUAGAUGCUUACAUGACAUUAAUAUUGAGUUCAUUAUAAGUGUCAAUGAAAUGCCAUAAUUGUUAUUUACAUGCUCCAAUUUAAUGUUAGAGCAUAAUUUCAACAUUCAAAUUUUAAAACUUUAAAAAAACAAACCUACUUAAUAAAAUCCAACAUAAAAAAUAUAAAAAACAAACAUAUAACAUAAAAAAUAAGAGUAAUCGAGUAUAUCAUUAGAAGAUUUUGACAAAUGAUUAUUGUGUCCAGAAGGAAAGUGAUAAAGAAAUAAUUGGGUAAAUAAGUAAAAAAAUAGGACUAAUCACAUUAUCUCAAGGAUUUGGCUAGAUAAAUUAAUCCUAUUUAAUGAAGGAAUAAAAGGGGCUAAAGCGAUAAAGAUAUAAUAGGGUGAAUAAUUUAAAAUGAGACUAAUCAAUUAUACCUGAAAUUUUUGACUUGACAAAUGAGUUUUAUUUAAUUAAGGAGUAAAAGGACUUAAAGUAUAAAUAACAAACUAUAAAUGGUUUAUGAAGGAGAUAGUAGGAAAGUUUUAAAUUUUAAAUGUGACUAGUGAUAGAAUUAGUUAUAACUCACUAUUUUAAAGUUUUUAAUUAGAUUUUAUAUAUUAAAAUAAAUACAAAAUUCUAGAAAAAAAGAAUGGAAAGUUUGGAAGCCAUUGAGAGGGUCUCUGCCAAAAACCCUCUCUGCAAUACAUAUAGAUAUAGAUAUUAAAUAUCAAUAUCAUAUCCUGUUUACUUCUUAUCUCGGAUAUGGGAUAUCACACAUAAUAUUAUAUAUACAUUAUUAGUGAAUAAAAUAUUUACUCUAUCAAUUAGUUAAAACUAAUUACUUAUAUGACCAGCAUAUUAGUUAUCUUCUAUUAUUCCCUCCAUCCCAUUGAAAGUGUCAUACUUUCCAUUUUAGAAUGUUUCAAAACCUUUACGUGUUGCAAAAAUCAAAGCACCGAUUAGUCAUUGUUUCCAAUAUAGCCAUUCUUUUUAAUCAUAUGCAUAUUACCAUUCAAAUUUAAAUUUUGAUUUUAUGGGGGUAAAAUUGAAAAAAAAAUACAAAUAUCACAAUCAAAUCACUAUUUUUAAAAAGUCGAAUUCCGAAACAUGAUUAAAUAAUUGGGACGGAGAGAGUAUAAAUUAUGGCUAGCAAUUUUUUUAUUUAUUUUUUAAAUUAGUUGUUGACACAUGACCGGAUUCUGGUAUUAAUUAAGAAAAAUCAGCCAGCCAUUAGGAUGAAAUAUAGUAAAUAAAAACUAAAAUAUUUGAAACUACAUUUGCUUUCAUCUAAGCUUUUGAAACUAAAAGCACUCAUACUCCAAAUGUUUAAAACUAAAAUUGCAAUUCUCUACACGAAUAAUUUCACUAAUGAACAACAAGAGUCGCGGCAAGACAUUAUACCGUUAGACAUUUUUGGUCAUACAAAUUUUCGCAACGAGGCCCAUUCAUCCGUCGCUAGGUUUUACAUGGCGACCAAUGCAGCAGCCAACUACAAGCCUAGCCCAGCAGAUAGUCUAAAGUUGGAAAAAUAUGGGGACCUACGCUUGCUUCUCUGAUGUUCAACGGACCCUGCCUGUUAGUAUUUUUUUUUCAAGCCGCUGCCUGUGGCAAUUUACAGGGACCACGGGCAGGCGAUUUUGUGCAUUUUACACACCGUUUAAUUUUAUUUGCACACGAUGUAAUUUUAUUUAUACAACGUGUACUUUUAGAAUAAAUUUUUGUGAAUUUAACACACAUCGUUAAAAACAAGAUACAAAAAGUAAUUUGAAUCAUAUAAUUUUUUUGGAUCAAAUCUUAACUGUGAAUAGCUCUGGUGCGAUCCUUCUGAUGAUCACUCCAGCCGCUCAUCCCAAUUUACAGAAACAAACAUGGCAUUCGGAAAUCAUGCAAAUUUUGCCCAGCCCCACCCCGCUGCACAUUUUGACUUUGCAAUAUGAAUCGUGGGGUUCCAUGCCCAACCCUUACACACCAACCAUUUUCCCUUCUUCCAAUUCUUCCGGUCUUCUUUAACUUCUGACUACUGACUAGUGGAAUAAAACUAGUACUAUUCUGCACAUCCAAACCACUUUACCAGAAUUCCAUAAUUGCAUUUAAAACAUAAAAAAGUCCCUAUUACAGUAACAUCUAUCUAAAUUAAUAAAUUCAAUUAAAUAAUAAUUUUUUAAUCUCAGUUUGGGCUAACGAGCUAAAUUAAUCAUUUCGAUAGAAUAAUAAGAUAAUAAUUUUAAAAAAAUGUUACAUAACUCUUUGAUCCCAUUCGUAUCAUAAAUUAAUAAUUCACUAAAAUUAUACAUUAUAUUUUCCCAAAUUAUAAGUAUAUUGUUGUCUGUUUUUCUUAAAAUUUAAAUUAGCUAAAUUUUAUCCCUAAUUUUCCUUUCUGCAUCUAAAAGUUCUAGUCUCAUGUUGCAAUAAACAAUAAGACAUUAUCCCUACAACUUUUUUAUUGCAUCUAGAAGUUCUGGUCUCAUAUUGCAUUAAAGAAAUUAGGAAGAAUUAUUGAUGCUUAGAAUGCUUCUUUUUGCAUAACAGGAUCUAAAAAUAUUAUAUCAUACUCAACUUCAUCACUAACCGAAUUUUAAAUGAUAUGCUAGUAACAAUUUCUUCUUGAAGACAUUAAUAGAAUUAAAUUAUACUUGCAAAUCAAGUAGAUAUACUUAAAGAAAUUAGUCUCCUUUUGUUAAUAGAAUAAUUCAUAUUUUUAUAAAAUAAAACAAAACUUCAAUUGAUUAAAUGAGUGUUUAUUUGAUAAAUCAAUAAUUUAUUAAUUUAUCAAUUAAUUAAUAAUACCUCUUUAAAAUAACAGAAUUUGUAUCAUUCCAAAGUUACUAAGGCCCUGUUUGGCACUUGAAUUUUUUGUCAAGUUUAUCUGCUACAAGUUUUUUAAAAAUUUUAGUUACAAUAACCUCAAAAAAAAUUUUAAAACUUUUAAACUAGACAUUUCAAAAUAUUCAAAAAUUUACACAUUUCAAAAAAUUUUAAAAAAACUUCUACAGUAAACUACAGUAAAAUUUUAAAUAAAUAUCUAAAAAACUCACUUACCAAACGGACCUUAUAGAGAGGUUUUAUUGUAUUAUUUUACUACCAAAUAGUGGAGCAUACACUUAAAAUUAGUCAUCAAAAUGGCCACCUUCCCCUUAAUUUCUUGGUCAACCGUCCGAAACACGAUAUGUCCUACACCGGACCAAUGCGGUCAUCUUCUUUGACUAAGCCCCAUCUAUAUUCUCGCCACCACCGCUUUAUAGUUUAUACUUUUAUCAUUGGGACCGAAAAAGCAAAAGCCACCAUAGACCAAAGAACAAUUGGCAUCCCAGAACAUUUGAACCAAAAAUAAAAGCAGUCUUUUUCUACAUAAACAAAUCAAAAGCAGACUGCAAAUUGCAGCUAUCUUCUUUGAAAUGCGCCAUACAUGUACCAAAUCCACCACCUGCCCUGCUUCUUUGCCAUUAACUCACCUUCAUUUGUCAAUUCGUUUAAUUCACGAUUGAUGACCCAAAAAGAAAAGAAGAGAGAGAAGAAGAAAAACAGAUAAAUGAUCAAGACUAAAAGUUGUUGUACAAGAAAUAAACUAAAGUCACUAAUAAUCAGUCUCUAAAAUCUCCUUCGAGACACAAACUGAUUAAUACCUAUUAGACUGCUAGAUAAUUACGCUAUUACACAAUUUUACAUUUGUUUCCCCUACAUUUUCCACCCUUUUUGGGCACCGAUUAAGUGUGUUGCGGUGGAACAAAUUAUAAUCCUGAUCAGGAAGACUCCAG